rnacentral:rRNA from 1 species
UACGUAGGUGGCGAGCGUUGUCCGGAUUUACUGGGCGUAAAGCGCGCGUAGGCGGCCUAUCAAGUCUGGGGUGAAAUCUCUCGGCCUAACCGGGAGGGGUCUUCAGAUACUGGUGGGCUUGAGGGCAGCAGAGGUCGGUGGAAUUCCCGGUGGAGUGGUCAAAUGCGUAGAUAUCGGGAGGAACACCAGUGGCGAAGGCGGCCGACUGGGCUGUCCCUGACGCUGAGGUGCGAAAGCGUGGGGAGCGAACCGG